AGAUAAUAGAUACCCAGGUAGUCCACGCCCUAAACGAUGUCGACUGGUUGUUGGGGUUUGACACUCUCAGUAAACGAAAGCUAAACGCGUGAAGUCGACCGCCUGGGGAGUACGGCCGCAAGGUUAAAACUCAAAGGAAUUGACGGGGACCCGCACAAGCGGUGGAUUAUGUGGAUUAAUUCGAUGCAACGCGAAAAACCUUACCUACCCUUGACAUGUCCGAGAGCCCGGUGAGAGCUGGGUGUGCCCGAAAGGGAAUCGGAACACAGGUGCUGCAUGGCUGUCGUCAGCUCGUGUCGUGAGAUGUUGGGUUAAGUCCCGCAACGAGCGCAACCCUUGUCAUUAGUUGCUACAUUCAGUUGGGCACUCUAAUGAGACUGCCGGUGACAAACCGGAGGAAGGUGGGGAUGACGUCAAGUCCUCAUGGCCCUUAUGGGUAGGGCUUCGCACGUAAUACAAUGGCGCGUACAGAGGGUUGCCAAGGGGCGACCUGGAGCCAAUCCCUUAAAGCGCGUCGUAGUCCGGAUUGCAGUCUGCAACUCGACU
rnacentral:rRNA from 1 species